CACUUGAGUGGCCUAGUGGUCAGAGCUUUUGCCUCAGAUGCAAGAGAUCCUAUGUUAGAACCCCAGCCAAGUCA